GCUCUUCAGGGUAGCUCAGUUGGUACAGCAUGAAACUCUUAAUCUUGGGGUCAUGGGUUUGAGUCCCAUGUUGGGCA